rnacentral:piRNA from 1 species
UGUCUCCCCAGUGCUGGUAAUAUAGG